ACUCGUACGGGCGGCAGCAGUAAGGAAUACAGGUCAAUGGAUGCAAGUCUGAACCAGCCAUGCCGCGUGAAGGACGAAGGUCCUCUGGAUUGAAACUUCUUUAGAGGGGGGAAAAAAUGGAAUGUUGCCCCUGAACGUACCAGAUAGCCUCGUGG
rnacentral:rRNA from 1 species